CCCUUAGAUGUUCUGGGCCGCACACGCGCUACACUGAAGGAGGCAGCAUGUACUCCUGGAUCGAAAGAUUUGGGUAACCCGCGAAUCUCCUUCGUGCUAGGGAUUGAGGUUUGCAAUUAUCCUUCAUGAACGAGGAAUUCCCAGUAAGUGCAAGUCAUAAGCUUGCGCUGACUACGUCCCUGCCCUUUGUACACACCGCCCGUCGCUACUACCGAUUGAAUGAUUUAGUGAGGACUUCGGACUGGGACCGAUGCGGCUUUCGGGCUGCGUCGGUAUUCUGGAAAGAUGUCCAAACUGUNUNAUUUAUNGGAAGUAAAANUCGUANCA
rnacentral:rRNA from 1 species